GUCCUCACUAUCGUCAGCUGUGGAAGGAACACCUAGUGACGCCCCUGGCAGCAUCCUGAUUGAUAGAACCAGACGAGACCGAUGUUUCUACAAACAUUCUUUUGGGCUGUUUUCAGUAGCCCUAUGUCAAUACACCAUAACACCUAUAAAUAACACUCUUGGAAUCUUCUUCCACGAAGAGGGAACAA